UAAAUAUCUCAAGCUCAUAGAGUACUAUAUAUUAGAACAUCUGCUUAGUUACCGUUUAGCUUUGUCAAAUCUUAUCAUUUUGUCAUAUUAAUUUCAGAUCACUUUCUUUUUUUUAAGGAUUAAAAUAUUACACGAAUUACUUAUUGCUGUGAUUUGGAGUAUCUUUAACCCUGAAAUAGGUCUAGUCACCUAUCACCCUGGCUCAUGAGAAUUAGCAGAACAUAUCUAAAGUGUCUACCAUAUGAGGAUAUCACAAAUCAUCUGGAUAGUUCAGUAACUUGUACAUUGCCCAGUUUCAACUGUUUGCUGCUUAUACCCUUGCAAGGUCAUCUGGUCAGAAGAGGAUCCAAUCUGUCCAGUGACGGGUUUAUUUGAAGAAAACCUUGAAGAAAGUUUUUACGAAGCUCUGCUCGCUUUGGUGCCUCCAGCAUUCUUGUUUUCUCGGUUUACUCUCUUGGUGGCCUUACCUCAUGUGACAUAUUCACCAAGCAACCUAGAGGGUUUAUAUUUGUAACUGCUCUUGCCUUCUCCAGUGUGACUAAAGAUUGCCAGGCCUCAGUAGUGUCGUUUCCCUGGCAAAGGCUCUUCCACAGUGGGUGUGUGAAUCCUUAAACCAAGCUUGCUU
rnacentral:lncRNA from 1 species